GGCGGUGCCAUCGCGCGGGGAGGAGGGGGUGCGCUUCCGCGGGCGGGGCGCGGAGCCCGCCGUCUCGGAGGCCGCGGCUCGGCCCGGCACUGCGCAGGGCCGCUUGAUUUCCCGGCACCCAGGUCGCGCGGCUGCUAGGGCCGGAGCCGGUGGAUCCGAGCGGGUGCCACCAGCGGCGGCGCGCCGCCUCCCCCGGUGGGAGCGGUGGUUGGGCCAGGCUGCGGCAGAGCGUUCGCUCGGAGAUGGCGGAGCAGCCGCGACGCGGCCCGUGGCCCCGAAAGCAGGGAAGCCGGGCAGCCCCGGGACGCGGCGGAGCCCGGGGACAGCGGGGACGCCGCCCAGUCCUCCGGAUAUGAAGCUAAAAUGCAGCGGCUAAGAACGCGGCUCUGGAGCUUGACAGGCCUGACGUCGAAUCCCAGCCCUCCCACCAACUGAGCUGUGUGAUCCUGGGCAAAGGGGAAGAGACUGAACUUUGCUGACCUUUGAUGUGAGGCGCUCAGCCAGGGCCAAGGGGAGAGCCUGGCAAGAUUUGCAGCCUGAAGCCAUGGGCCAGGGGGCCAUGGUGACCUGAGACUAGUGGACUCUGUAUAGUUGCCCCCUGCUUCCCCUUCUACCUCCCCUACCCUAUACUAAGGGGACUCAUCUCCACCUCUUAAGGAAACUCCCCCUGAGGGAAUCCCUGUCCCCUAUUUUCCUAUCCUUCUACCCUUCCAAGACAGUCCUAGCCUAUAGAACUCCUACCUCCCAUCCCCUGAGGUGGUCCCCAUUCCUCCCUCCCUUCCUCCCCCCGCCAUGCUCCAGUUGUGGAAGGUGGUACGCCCAGCUCGGCAGCUGGAACUGCACCGCCUCAUACUGCUGCUGAUCGCUUUCAGCCUGGGCUCCAUGGGCUUCCUGGCUUAUUAUGUGUCCACCAGCCCUAAGGCCAAGGAACCCUUGCCCCUGCCCUUGGGAGACUGCAGCAGUGGUGGGGCAGCUGGUCCUGGCCCUGCACGGCCUCCAGUUCCACCUCGGCCCCCCAGGCCUCCAGAGACAGCUCGAACUGAACCCGUGGUCCUUGUGUUUGUGGAGAGUGCAUACUCACAGCUGGGGCAGGAAAUUGUGGCCAUCCUGGAGUCUAGUCGUUUUCGUUAUAGCACUGAGUUGGCACCUGGCCGAGGGGACAUGCCCACAUUGACUGAUAAUACCCAUGGCCGCUAUGUCUUGGUCAUUUAUGAGAACCUGCUCAAGUAUGUCAACCUGGAUGCCUGGAGUCGGGAACUGCUAGACCGGUACUGCGUGGAGUAUGGUGUGGGCAUCAUUGGCUUUUUCCGAGCCCACGAGCACAGCCUACUGAGUGCCCAGCUCAAGGGCUUUCCCCUUUUUUUACACUCAAACUUGGGGCUCCAGGACUACCAAGUGAAUCCUUCUGCCCCGCUACUGCAUCUCACACGCCCCAGCCGCCUAGAACCAGGGCCACUGCCUGGUGAUGACUGGACCAUCUUCCAAUCCAAUCAUAGUACAUAUGAACCAGUGCUUCUUGCCAGCCUUCGGCCAGCUGAGCCCCCAGUGCCAGGACUAGUUCUUCGUCGGGCCCGGCUUCCCACUGUGGUACAGGACCUGGGGCUUCAUGAUGGCAUCCAGCGGGUGCUCUUUGGUCACGGCCUUUCCUUCUGGCUCCACAAACUUAUCUUCGUUGAUGCUGUUGCAUACCUCACUGGCAAGCGCCUCUGCCUGGACCUUGACCGCUACAUCUUGGUAGACAUCGAUGACAUCUUUGUGGGCAAGGAAGGGACCCGCAUGAAGGUGGCUGAUGUUGAGGCUCUGUUGACCACCCAGAACAAACUCAGGACCUUAGUCCCCAACUUCACCUUCAACUUGGGCUUCUCGGGCAAGUUCUAUCAUACUGGGACAGAAGAGGAGGACGCAGGGGACGACGUGCUGCUGAAGCACCGCAAAGAGUUCUGGUGGUUCCCCCACAUGUGGAGCCACAUGCAGCCACACCUCUUCCACAAUCGCUCCGUGCUGGCUGACCAGAUGAGGCUCAACAAACAGUUUGCUCUGGAGCAUGGGAUUCCCACGGACCUGGGGUAUGCUGUGGCCCCCCACCACUCGGGCGUGUACCCCAUCCACACGCAGCUCUAUGAGGCCUGGAAAUCCGUGUGGGGCAUCCAGGUGACCAGCACUGAGGAGUAUCCCCAUCUCCGCCCUGCCCGCUACCGCCGUGGCUUCAUUCACAAUGGCAUUAUGGUGCUGCCCCGGCAGACAUGUGGCCUCUUCACUCACACAAUCUUCUAUAAUGAGUAUCCUGGAGGCUCUCGUGAACUAGACCGGAGCAUCCGAGGUGGAGAGCUCUUUCUGACGGUGCUGCUUAAUCCGAUCAGCAUCUUUAUGACCCAUCUGUCCAAUUAUGGAAAUGACCGGCUGGGCCUGUACACCUUUGAGAGCUUGGUGCGCUUCCUCCAGUGUUGGACACGGCUGCGCCUACAGACCCUUCCUCCUGUCCCGCUUGCACAGAAGUACUUUGAACUUUUCCCUCAGGAGCGAAGCCCCCUUUGGCAGAAUCCCUGUGAUGACAAGAGGCACAAAGAUAUCUGGUCCAAGGAGAAAACCUGUGAUCGUCUCCCGAAAUUCCUCAUUGUGGGACCCCAGAAAACAGGGACUACAGCUAUUCACUUCUUCCUGAGCCUGCACCCAGCUGUAACUAGCAGCUUCCCUAGCCCCAGCACAUUUGAGGAGAUUCAGUUCUUCAACGGCCCUAAUUACCACAAGGGUAUUGACUGGUACAUGGAUUUCUUCCCUGUUCCUUCCAAUGCCAGCACUGAUUUCCUAUUUGAAAAAAGUGCCACCUACUUUGACUCAGAGGUUGUACCACGGCGGGGGGCUGCCCUCCUGCCACGAGCCAAGAUCAUCACAGUGCUCACCAACCCUGCUGACAGGGCCUACUCCUGGUACCAGCAUCAGCGAGCCCACGGAGACCCAGUUGCUCUGAACUAUACCUUCUAUCAGGUGAUUUCAGCCUCCUCCCAGACCCCUCUGGCACUACGCUCCCUGCAGAACCGCUGUCUUGUCCCUGGCUACUAUUCUACCCAUCUACAACGCUGGCUGACUUACUACCCCUCUGGACAGUUGCUGAUUGUGGAUGGGCAAGAGCUGCGUACCAACCCAGCAGCCUCAAUGGAGAGCAUCCAGAAGUUCCUGGGUAUCACACCCUUUCUGAACUACACACGGACCCUCAGGUUUGAUGACGAUAAGGGAUUUUGGUGCCAGGGACUUGAAGGUGGUAAGACUCGCUGUCUAGGCCGGAGCAAAGGCCGGAGGUAUCCAGAUAUGGACACUGAGUCAGGUCAAAUGAUUUACCUGUAAUCCAGGAAACGUGGGAAGAGUAAGUACGUGAGAGCCAGUUGGGAGAAACAAAGUUGUGCAGGCCAAGGGCAUAAAGCCCAAUCUCGAAGGCGCAAAGGUGCAGGUUGCGGUGAGGACCCUGGUGGCCCCCUGAGGAAGAUGGAUGUGUGAAAAUGGAAGUGCUGCUGUUGCCCCCUGCCUUGAUCAGCACUGUCUUCGCCAGCUCGAAGUAGAAGUGUGCAGCUGCCUCUGAUGGCUGAUUGGUCUUCGCCCGGGCUCCUCCACUGGCACUGGCCCGGCGACUUCCACUGGAGGAUGAGGAGCCCAGGGAGUCCGAAGAAGAGCUGCUAAUGCUGUCACUGUCCUGACCUCGACCCCAGGAGGUGGGGGCCCAGCCCCCUCGAAGUGGUCUCCGACUUAAGGUGGGGGAACUAUCCGAUGUUGUUUCAGGGGCACUGCUGUCAAUGCUGGCCAUGCCUAACCCCCAAGAGAAGUCAGUCUCAGAAGUCAGGAGUCCCAGAUGUUAGACUCCAACCUUCAGGAUUAUCCUUCCCUUUAUGCUAGCCCACAGGCUGUCCUACCUGUGUGCUUCUUCUUAGGCCGUCCUGGGGACCCCCAUCCCCGUCCAUUAUAGCCUCCACGACUGCCAAGUGCCAAGCGGCUAGGAACCUUCCCUUCUGGCCUUGGGGUCAAAGCUGCCUCAGAUGGAAGACCCUCACAGGGGGAAUGUGGGGAACUCUCUAGGUGAGGAAAACAGGACACUGGGAUGAGCCCAGGAAAGGGGACCUCAACAUAGCUCCAUACCAUUCAUCCCCCCUGCCCAGUGCCCCCACCUCACCAGGCACAUUCUUCUCUGUGAAGCCCUCAGUGGGGCCUGGCCCAGCCCCUGCCACACUCCCUGGUUGAGCAGGCCCUGCAGAGCCUGAGGUCAGUGGUUGCAGGGCCCCUGGGGCAGAUGGGCCCCCGUGCUUUGAAGGAGACCUCUGGCUGGCUGUGGUUGGGCGGCUAGAUGAGUAGAAAGAACUCAGCGUCUGUGGCUUAUGUGUCUGACUCUCUCGGUCCAAGAGUUUGUCUAAGAUCUGGAAGACAGAAGCAGUGACCUCCAGAGAAGCAGUGACAGGAUGCCCUUUAGCUCCUGACUUCUAUUACCUUCCUUUCUCCUUGAAACGGCCAAUUGCUACAUCCUCAGGGAGACUUCCCCAGUUACAACCACAGGAUGACCUCCUGGUUUACAUGUCUUUUUGUAACUUAUUCAACCCCAACAUAUCUUGGUAUCCUCCAUUAACACCACAGGGCAGAAUAUACUGAUAGUCAAUAAAUACUGAAAUAAGUGAAUGAAUGA